UUUGUCUCAUCCAAUCAAAUGCUUUGUUUCAUCAAUGAUGUAGCAUUCUCAUCUUUCUAUGUCCACUACCUUUUAUUCCUCUAACGAAAAUUAAGGUUGUGUAGAAGUCACAUUUUUAAUAUAGCAAAAUUUGCCGCAUGAAAAAGCUUCUUCAAGUGAUGCUAAUAGCGAGUUUUCCAUCGGUUGAGAAGUCUGAGAUAGAGAGAAUCAUCAGAGAGAAGGCGACAAGGGUUGCGGAAGGAGGAGAGGAAGAGAAUGUUAUGGCAAAACGAUUGUCUAAAGAAGCUAUUUCAAAUGCAGAUGAAGGAUCUUGAGUUCAUUCAACAACAAAACAUAGAGCCUUAACAAUAUAGGUUGCAAUGGCCAAACAUGUUUCUUUUUCCAGUCCGGAUUAUAAAAAGAAGGAUUUAACUUUUUAAGUCAUGAGCAAGUAAAUUGUUACUGCAUAGGCUUCAGAUGUGAUUGUUUGCUAUCAUAUCUUUUGAGAACUUGGAUUGAUUGAUUCAUUGGCUCAUUAAGUUAAUUUCUUAGAUGGUGUUUGUCAUCUGGUAGCUGUGAAUUAGCUCCACUAAAUUGGAACAACAGUCGAAUCUAAUUGCAAUAGAGUUUGAAGUUUUGUUUUCAAAAGGAUGUUUGUAAGAUAAAAAUAAUAUAAUCAAUCUAAAAAGAAGCUUGGUUUACUUAUGU